CAUCGCUGUCCCCGGGGUUUCCCUGCUGCUGUUCCUGUGUCCCCUACACGGGGUAUAACCGACCCCCGCUCAGUGUCCCGGGGGUCUCAGGAACACGCUUCUACAAUAAAUACAUGUUUGCACCCGAGCCCCGUGUCGCCAUUUCGUCUGUUCCCGCACGAACUGAGCCUCGCAGAGCCGAGGGGAAAGCGGCUGCUGCCUCUCCCCUCCUCCUGCCGUGCUGCCCGCAGGCGCCUGCCUGGAGCUGAUCUCGCACGGCAACAAAUGGUAGCAGGCAAUGGCUAUUUCCAUCGAUUUGUGAAAGGGGGGAGAGAGAAAGGAACUCUGCCGCUGCAAGAGCUCUGCAAACGCUAAGAGGAGUUAACGUGCUGGGCGGAAAACAAACUCGAAGCUCUGGGACCCUCUUCCAUCCUCACCGGCAUGCUCUCUAACCCGCCCGGGAACAGCCGCGCUGCAGGGGCAGCCGGACUGCAGGGGCCAGGAGCCACGUGGACUUACCCGAGGACAAAGAGGACAGUUUGGCAGUGGCUCGAUUGACUGAGCUCAAAGAGUGGCCCAUCAGGGGACGGCAUUUGAACGGGGACCAGAGGUUGAUAGUGGCCGAACCCAGGGUUUCAAGGGCAAACUCUGGUUAGCAGGAACACCCAGGCUUUUGGGAGAAGCCAAACUGCGAAAGAAUAUGUUCUCAGUUCAGCGCGAUUUUCCACCACCGAGGAGAGGGAUAGAGAUUUCACUGCCAGAGCCCGGAAGGUAAGUUGAGUCAGAGCAGGGUGGGACCCUGGCGGGCGGCUGGGCUACCAAUUUUUCUUUUGAGUUUUAACCACUGUCCGCAUCCAGACGGGGGCUGUAGGCUUGCAUGUCCCUGGCGGCCAGGAGGCUUUUUCUUUUCCGAGGAGGAUGCAACCUCGCUCAGUCUUUUUGGGGUAACUCAUGCUGGAAAGCUCCUUCUCUUUCUUGGAAAGCUGCCUUUUCUACCCUCUCCUCCCUACUUUGAGCUAUGGGGGCAGGGGGGGUUGAAAGGACACCAAUAGGACAGAAUUGUAAAUGGCGACACGUCAGCUUUGGGAGAAUUGUUAACAUCUUAAGAGAGGCCCUCCACAUCCACGCAUUUCGUCGGCUUCCAGCCGCGUCGGGCCCCUCUCCUGUAGAUUUUCCCCUCGGCUUCUGCGAAGCUCCCCCUUCCCUUUUCCCCACAGACCUCCCCAAACCUUCUCCCUUGGGGAUGGCAGCGGCCAAGCCGCCCCAAGCGCCUUGCUGGACACUGUUAUCCUCCCCUAGGGGUGGCAUUGGCCGUGCCUUCCCGGGCGAGAUGCAGUGUACCUGGUACCCCCUCCCAAGAUGGCGCUGGCCACGCUACAGGGACCCCAUUUUCCUGCCUUGAUCCUUCUCUUCAGCCCAUGUUUUCCCGCCAGCCCCAUCCAUCCCCCAACGGCCCUGCACCAUCCUGCAGUGGUCCAGCCCCUAUUGGGGGGGAGGUGAGGUUGGAUUAAUCCCUCAGUCCUUCUUCUGGCUCCCCCUCUGAUGGGAGGGAUUGCCAGAGGGGCCCCUCCGUUAGAGGACUUCCCUUUGUAAGAGAGCUUUCCCCUUUGCUGGGGGGGUGGGGGGGGGCCUUCAAAGGGAGUGGAGCUGGAAACCCAGACCAGAGCUCCACUAUUUUCCUUCCCCUCAAGCAGUGGCGCCCAGGUUCACCCCUAUCCCAUUCCCUAAAUAUACCUUGCCCAAAGUUCCCUUAUUUCAAUACAAGUUUUCCCAUUGCUUGUGAUAAUUUGGAAAUAACUUUUUGGAUUGAGUUAUAUCUUAUAGAAGGAAAGAUCAUCCUCUCUAAUUACUGCCCACAAUGCUAUGCCAACUUCGCAAUCAAAUAAUCAAAUUGGAGAAACCACAUCGCUGUUCGCUGCCUGCUUCUGCUCUGCUAGAAUUUGGAAACCACAAGCAUCGCGUCAUGAAUCCUGCUUUCAUCCUCAAUACAGAAUAAGUGAGCCUCGCAGAGCCAAAGGGGAAAAGCGGCUGCCGCCCUCUCCUUCCUCCCGCCGUGCCUGCAGGCGCCCACCCGGAGCCGGUCUCGCACGGCAACAUCAUGUCUUGUUCAGCCAUGGUGCCUACUAACAGUAACCUGUUCCCUAAAUUAAAGAGAAGCAUGGCAACAAGUGUGGGUAAGUUUUGUGGGGGUAACAAAACUACAGCAUCACAGCACGUCUUUGUCUUGAUGCAGGCUUUGCACAAUAUCCCUUACAGAUGCAUCUAACCUCAGUGCAAUCCAAUAGGACCACAUGGGAUUCCUGUGUAUUACUUGGAAAGACUUAAAUAAUUUUCCUCCAAAUAAUAAGUCAGGAAAAAGAAUAUCUCACUAAGAAUGAAAAUUUCAGAAAUCUGGAAAAAUAUUUCAUCUUUAUGAACCAUCAUUGCGUUUUAAUCUCUUUUUCCCAAACUAGACACUUUCAGCAAGGAUCAUGUGAGGUGUUAAGCAGUCGACCAUUCACUUCCUUUAGGAUAUGUGUACCCAAGACAUUGGAAGGCUCUCUUCUGCUUUAGUACAAAGUCCUAAGUCAGACUAAAUUACUAAAAUUACUGAAUUACUAUAAAGUGUUUCCACUUUAUAUUUCCAAAUAUGAAUGCUUAACAUGUAGAGUGAACAUACAAGAGAAUUUUCUUCUGUUAAGAUCAGAAACAAUUUUGUAAUUGAUUGCCAUAGAAUCUUACCUUGGAUAUUUAAAGAUGCAAGUAAUACAGGUCCAAGCAACCUCACUAGGAAUUCAGUGCUACAGAAAAUCAGUUCAUAUAACAUACUACCAUAUAGCAUGUUUUUAUUUUAGCAGCUAAUUUCCUGUAUUCUGAAAUUUAAUGACAUUUAAUUUAAUUUCUUGAUCUAUUAAUAAAGUUUUGUAUCAGCAGAUGCAGAAUAAGCUGACUCAAUAAAAAUCUUAUGUCUGACCAAAUAAUACAUUUUCUAAGAAUGAAACCCCUUCCAGCCCAGAGACAUAAAGCCAUGUGAGAAAGCAUGCUUCCUCCCCCAAAGAGGUGAAGAUGAUGCAUCUAGACAUGUGAUAAAGGAUGAGUCUAGUAAGCAGAGGAGAGAAAAAGCUGCAUUAUCAUGUUUUUAUCUAUUUCUUGCAUUUAUUUAUUGAUGAUUGGUUUGAACUCUGAAAAUUUUAUGUUGAAAAUUACAUAUAAUAAAAAAGCUCAGAGAAAACUGUACUAAAAACCACUUUCCAUUAUGACUUGAUAGUGUCAUAAAGCCUCAUGCUGGCUACAUAUCAUGAUUCCAGUGAAGGCAAAAAAGUAAUUCUGGCCCACCCAGCACAGAUUUUUUCCCCCACUUUCUGUGUCCAGGGUAUAAACCUGCUCUUCAGUCUGUCUUCACUUUGGGCCACAGCUGGUUCCUAAUUGGUCUGAAUUUUGAAGGGCUGUUCAGAUGGGCUCCAGCCCCUCCUGCCACUUGCACAGCCUUCACUGCUGGCCAUCAUCUCAUCCUGUGUCCUGACAGUGUUGUUGAAUUAUGGUCUUUUGAUUUGAAAAAGUCCUCAAGGGAAACUCUUACCUUGAAAACUAUAGUAGAUACAUGGUUUACAGGCAUUGCUAUUUAUGGCUUAUACACAUUCAGUUAUUUAUUUUUAUGUUUUAUAAUCCUGAAUAUUGAUCAAAAAAAUGCUUCUUAAGAGAUCUAGUUCAGCUACUUGAGCUUUAGUUAAAACUUUAUUGCAGCUGCAACACUUUUUAGUUUUGGAAACAGAAUGAAAAGUGAUUUUUACUCCUUUGUACAUGUACAGGUAAGCAUACUUGUACUGCAAAUAUCUAUGCAAAGUAAAUAAAGCUAAGAAAUUACAAAAGUACUAUUAAAUUUUUCUGGUCAUUUUAAUCACACCAAGUCCUUAAAUAGACUUAUAUUAAUAGCUUUAUACAUAUAAGCAAAAUUAAGAGGUUUUGCUUGGUUCAGGAAUAGGAUUGCAAAAUCCCCAGUUAUUUAUUUUGAUAGCAAACUAGUAAAAAAAAAAAAGUUUAAAAAGCUUCCUUAAAAAACUUAACAUCAGAACCUAACCUAAACUACCACAUACAACUCUUUUUCUUUCCAAUAACAAGAUUUGUUUGUUCCAUUUUAUUUUCAGUGAAAGCUGCCUUGGUAGACAAUUGGCUGUUGAUGGCUGGUGGAAGAUUCUGGUUUGGUUGGGAAGCUAGGUUUUACUGAAAACAUAUCCAGAUGAAAAGAUUCUGAUGAGGGCUCUUUGGACAAAUUAACAUGAAUUUUGAUAUCAUGAUCUCUAAUAGACAAUAACAAGGCAGGGAUUUUUAGACACUUUUUAAUAAAAAGAAAUUGUUCUGGUCACAGCAAGUGCUCACUCUGAUCUGUAUGUUUCCUCUUAAUGACAAUAAUUCUCUGCUGUCUGUGGUAUUAUCUGUUGUUUUUCUCCUGUUGUCUCUCCCUGAUGUAUGUAUGUAUGUGUGUAUGUAAACACAUACAUAAAUAUCUGCAAUACAUGUACAGAAUUCAAAUAAAAAUUGUCUCCUGAGA